rnacentral:rRNA from 1 species
GGGUAUAGUAGCAAUACUAGAGACCGGCGCACGGGUGCGUAACGCGUAUGCAAUCUACCUUAUACAGAGGGAUAGCCCAGAGAAAUUUGGAUUAAUACCUCAUAGCAUAGCAACUUCGCAUGAAGUCACUAUUAAAGUUCCAACGGUAUAAGAUGAGCAUGCGUCCUAUUAGCUAGAUGGUAAGGUAACGGCUUACCAUGGCUACGAUAGGUAGGGGUCCUGAGAGGGAGAUCCCCCACACUGGUACUGAGACACGGACCAGACUCCUACGGGAGGCAGCAGUGAGGAAUAUUGGACAAUGGGCGCAAGCCUGAUCCAGCCAUGCCGCGUGCAGGAAGACGCAUCUAUGGUGUGUAAACUGCUUUUGUACGGGAAGAAACACUCCCUCGUGAGGGAGCUUGACGGUACCGUAAGAAUAAGGAUCGGCUAACUCCGUGCCAGCAGCCGCGGUAAUACGGAGGAUCCAAGCGUUAUCCGGAAUCAUUGGGUUUAAAGGGUCCGUAGGCGGUUUGGUAAGUCAGUGGUGAAAGCCCAUCGCUUAACGAUGGAACGGCCAUUGAUACUGCCAGACUUGAAUUACUGGGAAGUAACUAGAAUAUGUAGUGUAGCGGUGAAAUGCUUAGAUAUUACA